GGGUUGUGAGGUUAAGCGACUAAGCGUACACGGUGGAUGCCCUGGCAGUCAGAGGCGAUGAAGGACGUGCUAAUCUGCGAUAAGCGUCGGUAAGGUGAUAUGAACCGUUAUAGCCGGCGAUUUCCGAAUGGGGAAACCCAGUGUGAUUCGUCACACUAUCGUUAAGUGAAUACAUAGUUUAACGAAGCGAACCGGGGGAACUGAAACAUCUAAGUACCCCGAGGAAAAGAAAUCAACCGAGAUUCCCCCAGUAGCGGCGAGCGAACGGGGAGCAGCCCAGAACCUGAAUCAGUUUGUGUGUUAGUGGAAGCGUCUGGAAAGUCGCAGGGUACAGGGUGAUACUCCCGUACACUAAAAUGCACAGGCUGUGAGUUCGAAGAGUAGGGCGGGACACGUGGUAUCCUGUCUGAAUAUGGGGGGACCAUCCUCCAAGGCUAAAUACUCCUGACUGACCGAUAGUGAACCAGUACCGUGAGGGAAAGGCGAAAAGAACCCCGGCGAGGGGAGUGAAAAAGAACCUGAAACCGUGUACGUACAAGCAGUGGGAGCCUACUUGUUAGGUGACUGCGUACCUUUUGUAUAAUGGGUCAGCGACUUAUAUUCUGUAGCAAGGUUAACCGAAUAGGGGAGCCGCAGGGAAACCGAGUCUUAACUGGGCGUUAAGUUGCAGGGUAUAGACCCGAAACCCGGUGAUCUAGCCAUGGGCAGGUUGAAGGUUGGGUAACACUAACUGGAGGACCGAACCGACUAAUGUUGAAAAAUUAGCGGAUGACUUGUGGCUGGGGGUGAAAGGCCAAUCAAACCGGGAGAUAGCUGGUUCUCCCCGAAAGCUAUUUAGGUAGCGCCUCGUGAACUCAUCUUCGGGGGUAGAGCACUGUUUCGGCUAGGGGGUCAUCCCGACUUACCAACCCGAUGCAAACUACGAAUACCGAAGAAUGUUAUCACGGGAGACACACGGCGGGUGCUAACGUCCGUCGUGAAGAGGGAAACAACCCAGACCGCCAGCUAAGGUCCCAAAGUCAUGGUUAAGUGGGAAACGAUGUGGGAAGGCACAGACAGCCAGGAUGUUGGCUUAGAAGCAGCCAUCAUUUAAAGAAAGCGUAAUAGCUCACUGGUCGAGUCGGCCUGCGCGGAAGAUGUAACGGGGCUAAACCAUGCACCGAAGCUGCGGCAGCGACACGAUGUGUUGUUGGGUAGGGGAGCGUUCUGUAAGCCGUUGAAGGUGGCCUGUGAGGGUUGCUGGAGGUAUCAGAAGUGCGAAUGCUGACAUAAGUAACGAUAAAGCGGGUGAAAAGCCCGCUCGCCGGAAGACCAAGGGUUCCUGUCCAACGUUAAUCGGGGCAGGGUGAGUCGACCCCUAAGGCGAGGCCGAAAGGCGUAGUCGAUGGGAAACAGGUUAAUAUUCCUGUACUCGGUGUUACUGCGAAGGGGGGACGGAGAAGGCUAUGUCGGCCGGGCGACGGUUGUCCCGGUUUAAGCAUGUAGGCGGAGGUUCCAGGUAAAUCCGGUACCUUAUUAACGCUGAGGUGUGAUGACGAGGCACUACGGUGCUGAAGUGACAAAUGCCCUGCUUCCAGGAAAAGCCUCUAAGCAUCAGGUAACAUCAAAUCGUACCCCAAACCGACACAGGUGGUCAGGUAGAGAAUACCAAGGCGCUUGAGAGAACUCGGGUGAAGGAACUAGGCAAAAUGGUGCCGUAACUUCGGGAGAAGGCACGCUGAUGGUAAGUGAAGCGACUUGCUCGUGGAGCUGAACUCAGUCGAAGAUACCAGCUGGCUGCAACUGUUUAUUAAAAACACAGCACUGUGCAAACACGAAAGUGGACGUAUACGGUGUGACGCCUGCCCGGUGCCGGAAGGUUAAUUGAUGGGGUUAUCCGUAAGGAGAAGCUCUUGAUCGAAGCCCCGGUAAACGGCGGCCGUAACUAUAACGGUCCUAAGGUAGCGAAAUUCCUUGUCGGGUAAGUUCCGACCUGCACGAAUGGCGUAAUGAUGGCCAGGCUGUCUCCACCCGAGACUCAGUGAAAUUGAACUCGCUGUGAAGAUGCAGUGUACCCGCGGCAAGACGGAAAGACCCCGUGAACCUUUACUAUAGCUUGACACUGAACACUGGUCCUUGAUGUGUAGGAUAGGUGGGAGGCUUUGAAGUGUGGACGCCAGUCUGCAUGGAGCCAACCUUGAAAUACCACCCUUUAAUGGCUGGUGUUCUAACGUAGACCCGUCAUCCGGGUUGCGGACAGUGUCUGGUGGGUAGUUUGACUGGGGCGGUCUCCUCCCAAAGAGUAACGGAGGAGCACGAAGGUUAGCUAAUCCUGGUCGGACAUCAGGAGGUUAGUGCAAUGGCAUAAGCUAGCUUGACUGCGAGCGUGACGGCGCGAGCAGGUGCGAAAGCAGGUCAUAGUGAUCCGGUGGUUCUGAAUGGAAGGGCCAUCGCUCAACGGAUAAAAGGUACUCCGGGGAUAACAGGCUGAUACCGCCCAAGAGUUCAUAUCGACGGCGGUGUUUGGCACCUCGAUGUCGGCUCAUCACAUCCUGGGGCUGAAGUAGGUCCCAAGGGUAUGGCUGUUCGCCAUUUAAAGUGGUACGCGAGCUGGGUUUAGAACGUCGUGAGACAGUUCGGUCCCUAUCUGCCGUGGGCGCUGGAGAAUUGAGGGGGGCUGCUCCUAGUACGAGAGGACCGGAGUGGACGCAUCACUGGUGUUCGGGUUGUCAUGCCAAUGGCAUUGCCCGGUAGCUAAAUGCGGAAGAGAUAAGUGCUGAAAGCAUCUAAGCACGAAACUUGCCCCGAGAUGAGUUCUCCCUGACUCUUUAAGAGUCCUGAAGGAACGUUGAAGACGACGACGUUGAUAGGUCGGGUGUGUAAGCGUAGCGAUACGUUGAGCUAACCGAUACUAAUGAACCGUGAGGCUUAACCUUACAACGCCGAAGCUGUU
rnacentral:rRNA from 1 species